rnacentral:lncRNA from 1 species
CGGGGCCGCGCGCUCCGGACCCACCUGCUGCGUCCCGGGCCGGCUGUCCGGUCGUGCGCUAGAUCGCUGUCCUUCAACUCCACCGCCGUCGCCUGAGGAAGGAGGGAGCAGGAGAAAUCCGGAGGAGUGAAAACACAACCUUUUAAGCAAAAUAAUAGAUAUUAUUCCACCUAUCAUCUGGAAGCUGCUUAGGACUCAUGAUACACGAACUGGUCUGGUGCCACAGGGACUGAAGAGAUGGCUCAGCAGUUAAGAGCACUGGCUGCUCUUCCAGAGGGCCUGGAUUCAAUUCCCAGCAACCACAUGGCCGCUCACAACUGUCUGUAGUUCCAGUUCCAGGGGAUCUGACAUCCUCACAAGAGACAUGCAGGAAAAAC